UUCUCCUUUCAGGAUUCCCAGAGGAUGGAA
rnacentral:piRNA from 1 species